rnacentral:ncRNA from 1 species
AAAAUGUGGAAUGACUUGUACGAUUGCAACCACAAUAAAAAAGUGCUAAAC